CUGGUCUAAUAAGAUAUUUGAUUGCAAGUCGGAUUUUUGGUUUAAUAACCAUUAGGCUU
rnacentral:tRNA from 1 species